AAUCAACGCUGGCGGCGUGCCUCAGACAUGCAAGUCGAACGCGAAAGGCUCCUUCGGGAGCCCGGUAGAGUGGCGCACGGGUGAGUAACACGUAGGUAAUUUGCCUUCGGGUGGGGAAUAACUCAGGGAAACUUGAGCUAAUACCGCAUAAUGCAGCGGCUCGACAUCGAGACAGUUGUUAAAGCAGGGGAUCGCAAGACCUCGCGCCUGAAGAGAAGCCUGCGGCAGAUUAGCUAGUUGGUAGGGUAAUGGCCUACCAAGGCGACGAUCUGUAACCGGCCUGAGAGGGCGGUCGGUCACACUGACACUGACAUACGGGUCAGACUCC
rnacentral:rRNA from 1 species